GAUGAAGAACGCAGCAAAAUGCGAUAAGUAAUGUGAAUUGCAGAAUUCAGUGAAUCAUCGAAUCUUUGAACGCACCUUGCACUCCUUGGUAUUCCGAGGAGUACGCCUGUUCGAGUGUUAUGAAGCUCUCAAAACGCAAUUGGCUUAAAACCUGAUUGUUGUUUUGGAUUUGAACUUUGCCGUGUUAUAACGGCUGGUUUUAAAAGUAUUAGCUGGUACUAGAACGAAUUGGUUCUACUCAACGUGAUAAUUAUCUGAUCGUUGAGGACAUUCCUUUCACGAGGAAUGGCCAUAGUAAAUUCAAUGGACUGCUUCUAAUCUGGCUUUAAUUCUUUAUUGGAUUAACCACUUUUCAAAUCUGACCUCGAAUCAGGUGGGACUACCCGCUGAACUUAAGCAUAUCAAUAAGCGGAGGA
rnacentral:misc_RNA from 1 species